rnacentral:lncRNA from 1 species
GCACGAGACAUUAUUAAGUUCUAUAAAUAGGGGAGAAACAUUGUUUUCCUUUUUACAGUAAAAAACUGAAACUCCAAAUAGCUCAUCAAAAUGUUUUCCAAAACUAACCUUUUUCUUUGCCUUUCUUUGGCUAUUUUGCUAAUUGUAAUAUCCUCACAAGCUGAUGCAAGGGAGACGUCUAAGGCAGCUGCUCCAAUUUCCCAAGGUUUAUUUACUUCUUCUAUCUAUUACUACUCCAGUAGUUAUUUUCAUUUUUAACAUUUUGAGUCUGCGAACGGAUGUUAUAAAUGUUUAAAUAUUCAUGUAACAUUUGGCUUAGAAUUUUGUGAUAUUAAAUAUAUCAUAAUAUCUUAUAAAGAAAUCUCAUUAAUGAAAAAAUUGGAAUUUCGGAAUUAAAUAAUUAUUAAACGUUGGUAGCAUUCUUUGCUGGAGUGAUUUAAAAGGAAAGUAAAACACAUGAUUGAAACGAAGGGAGUAAAUGUUUACAUAAGUAUUAUUUAACAUUUUGCUGAAAGUUUAAUGUCGUUUUGAAACUUUCUGAGACCUUCUACCUGUAUAAUAUUUAGUAAUCUAAGGAUAUCGCAACACCGCAAAAGUUUUUCUUUUUAUCUUUAUUGAAUUUGGUGAUUACUUUUUAUAAUAGUUUAAAUUCUAUUGCUAGAGCAAGGACACUUCAUUUGAAGUAGCGACCUGUCCUGCCAAAUGUGUGAUCAUUUUAUUUAAAACUUAAGUUAUUAGAGGAGGAACCUACGUUCAUCCUAAUUUAUUUAUGUUUGCAGCACUGAGAAUUAAUAUGGUCAUAAAUUAAUUUCCUCCUUUAUUGGUUAACCUAUAACUAAUACAUUACUCUACAUAACCUAAUUUGAUGCAGAAAUGAAUUCAAACAACAUUACUGAUCAGAAGACGGGUGCCGGAAUCAUCCGUAAGAUACCAAAACGUCCAAAACCAGGAGGCAAUAUCGCCGGUGUGAGUUUAGUUUUGAGAAUAAAGGGAAAGUUAUGAAUAGCCUAAUAUAAUUCUAUUCACUUUCCUCUAGUUAAUUUCUCUUAGUUUGUGUUUUGUUUUGUUAGUAGUUCCUAUUGUUGCAACUUGCAACAAGUCUUGGGUCAACAUGUACCUCUUGUCUUGUAGUCUUUCGACCGUAUGAUAUUAUACGAUUUUUCUUUAGCCACUUGUUAUCUGAAACCAAAUCCAAUUAAAUCUAAUUCGCGUUGCAUAGGUUCUACUACAGUUAGACCUCUUUAUAACAUCUUUAUAUAAUAGUCAUUCAAUGUAAAAGC